rnacentral:rRNA from 1 species
AUUGAACGCUGGCGGCAGGCCUAACACAUGCAAGUCGAGCGGAUGAAGGGGGCUUGCUCCUGGAUUCAGCGGCGGACGGGUGAGUAAUGCGCAGGAAUCUACCUCGUAGUGGGGGAUAACGUCUCGAAAGGGGCGCUAAUACCGCAUACGUUCUGAGGAAGAAAGCAGGGGACCUUCGGGCCUUGCGCUAUGAGAUGAGCUUGCGUCCGAUUAGCUAGUUGGUGGGGUAAAGGCCUACCAAGGCGACGAUCGGUAACUGGUCUGAGAGGAUGAUCAGUCACACUGGAACUGAGACACGGUCCAGACUCCUACGGGAGGCAGCAGUGGGGAAUACUGGACAAUGGGGGCAACCCUGAUCCAGCCAUGCCGCGUGUGUGAAGAAGGCC